CGAAGGGUGCAAGCGUUGCUCGGAAUUAUUGGGCGUAAAGGGUUGGUAGGUGGUCUUGUUUGUCUGAGGUGAAAUCCCAUGGCUUAACUGUGGAAGUGCCUCAGAAACGGCAAGACUAGAGUCCUAGAGGGGUUUGUGGAAUUCCCGGUGUAGCGGUGAAAUGCGUAGAGAUCGGGAGGAACACCAGCGGCGAAGGCGGCAAACUGGAUAGGAACUGACACUCAACAACGAAAGCGUGGGGAGCAAACAGGAUUAGAUACCCUGGUAGUCCACGCUGUAAACGAUGGGUACUAGGCUUUGUGGGAAUAGACCCCUGCAGAGCCGGAGCUAACGCAAUAAGUACCCCGCCUGGGAAGUACGGUCGCAAGACUA
rnacentral:rRNA from 1 species